rnacentral:rRNA from 1 species
GUGGGGAAUAUUGCACAAUGGGCGAAAGCCUGAUGCAGCAACGCCGCGUGAGGGACGACGGCCUUCGGGUUGUAAACCUCUUUUAGUAGGGAAGAAGCGAAAGUGACGGUACCUGCAGAAAAAGCACCGGCUAACUACGUGCCAGCAGUCGCGGUAAUACGUAGGGUGCAAGAGUUAUCCGGAAUUAUUGGGCGUAAAGAGCUCGUAGGCGGUCUGUCGCGUCUGCUGUGAAAACUGGAGGCUCAACCUCCAGCCUGCAGUGGGUACGGGCAGACUAGAGUGCGGUAGGGGAGAUUGGAAUUCCUGGUGUAGCGGUGGAAUGCGCAGAUAUCAGGAGGAACACCGAUGGCGAAGGCAGAUCUCUGGGCCGUAACUGACGCUGAGGAGCGAAAGCGUGGGGAGCGAACAGGAUUAGAAACCCGGGUAGUCC